rnacentral:tRNA from 1 species
CCCUGGAGGACUAGUGGUUAGGGCUCGGUGCUCUUGCCGCCGUGGCCCAGGUUCGAUUCGGUUCGAUUG